CCUACGGGUGGCAGCAGUGGGGAAUAUUGGACAAUGGGCGAAAGCCUGAUCCAGCCAUGCCGCGUGUGUGAAGAAGGCCUUCGGGUUGUAAAGCACUUUCAGUGGGGAAGAAAGCCUUGGGGCUAAUACCCUCGAGGAAGGACAUCACCCACAGAAGAAGCACCGGCUAACUCCGUGCCAGCAGCCGCGGUAAUACGGAGGGUGCGAGCGCUAAUCGGAAUUACUGGGCGUAAAGCGCGCGUAGGCGGUCUGAUAAGCCGGUUGUGAAAGCCCCGGGCUCAACCUGGGAACGGCAUCCGGAACUGUCAGGCUAGAGUGCAGGAGAGGAAGGUAGAAUUCCCGGUGUAGCGGGGAAAUGCGUAGAGGUCGGGAGGAAUACCAGUGGCGAAGGCGGCCUUCUGGACUGACACUGACGCUGAGGUGCGAAAGCGUGGGUAGCAAACAGGAUUAGAUACCCGGGUAGUC
rnacentral:rRNA from 1 species